rnacentral:rRNA from 1 species
AGAGUUUGAUCCUGGCUCAGAUUGAACGCUGGCGGCAGGCUUAACACAUGCAAGUCGAACGAUGAAAUCUAGCUUGCUAGAUGGAUUAGUGGCGAACGGGUGAGUAAUGCUUAGGAAUCUGCCUAUUAGUGGGGGAUAACCAUCCGAAAGGAUGGCUAAUACCGCAUACGUCUUACGAGAGAAAGGGGGCUUUUAGCUCUCGCUAAUAGAUGAGCCUAAGUCGGAUUAGCUAGUUGGUGGGGUAAAGGCCUACCAAGGCGACGAUCUGUAGCUGGUCUGAGAGGAUGAUCAGCCACACUGGGACUGAGACACGGCCCAGACUCCUACGGGAGGCAGCAGUGGGGAAUAUUGGACAAUGGGCGAAAGCCUGAUCCAGCCAUGCCGCGUGUGUGAAGAAGGCCUUUUGGUUGUAAAGCACUUUAAGUGGGGAGGAAAAGCUUGUGGUUAAUACCCAUUAGCCCUGACGUUACCCACAGAAUAAGCACCGGCUAACUCUGUGCCAGCAGCCGCGGUAAUACAGAGGGUGCAAGCGUUAAUCGGAAUUACUGGGCGUAAAGCGAGCGUAGGUGGUUACUUAAGUCAGAUGUGAAAGCCCCGGGCUUAACCUGGGUAUUGCAUCUGAUACUGGGUGACUAGAGUAGGUGAGAGGGAAGUAGAAUUCCAGGUGUAGCGGUGAAAUGCGUAGAGAUCUGGAGGAAUACCGAUGGCGAAGGCAGCUUCCUGGCAUCAUACUGACACUGAGGUUCGAAAGCGUGGGUAGCAAACAGGAUUAGAUACCCUGGUAGUCCACGCCGUAAACGAUGUCUACCAGUCGUUGGGUCUCUUGAAGACUUAGUGACGCAGUUAACGCAAUAAGUAGACCGCCUGGGGGAGUACGGCCGCAAGGUUAAAACUCAAAGGAAUUGACGG